GACCGGCAGCGACUUAACUGAACCUUCGGGGAACGUUAAGGGCGGCGAGCGGCGGACGGGUGAGUAAUGCCUGGGAAUAUGCCCUGAUGUGGGGGAUAACUAUUGGAAACGAUAGCUAAUACCGCAUAAUCUCUUCGGAGCAAAGAGGGGGACCUUCGGGCCUCUCGCGUCAGGAUUAGCCCAGGUGGGAUUAGCUUGUUGGUGAGGUAAUGGCUCACCAAGGCAACGAUCCCUAUCUGGUCUGAGAGGAUGAUCAGCCACACUGGAACUGACACACGGUCCACACUCCUACGGGAGGCAGCAGUGGGGAAUAUUGCACAAUGGGGGAAACCCUGAUGCAGCCAUGCCGCGUGUGUGAAGAAGGCCUUCGGGUUGUAAAGCACUUUCAGUAGGGAGGAAGGUAGUGUAGUUAACACCUGCAUUAUUUGACGUUACCUACAGAAGAAGCACCGGCUAACUCCGUGCCAGCAGCCGCGGUAAUACGGAGGGUGCGAGCGUUAAUCGGAAUUACUGGGCGUAAAGCGCAUGCACGCGGCCUGUUAAGUCAGAUGUGAAAGCCCGGGGCUUAACCUCGGAAUUGCAUUUGAAACUGGCAGGCUACAGUCUUGUAGAGGGGGGUAGAAUUUCCGGUGUAG
rnacentral:rRNA from 1 species